rnacentral:rRNA from 1 species
UACGGAGGGGGCUAGCGUUGUUCGGAAUUACUGGGGCGUAAAGCGCACGUAGGCGGCUUUGUAAGUUAGAGGUGAAAGCCCGGGGCUCAACUCCGGAAUUGCCUUUAAGACUGCAUCGCUAGAAUUGUGGAGAGGUAAGUGGAAUUCCGAGUGUAGAGGUGAAAUUCGUAGAUAUUCGGAAGAACACCAGUGGCGAAGGCGACUUACUGGACACAUAUUGACGCUGAGGUGCGAAAGCGUGGGGGAGCAAACAGG